AGGUAGUAAAUAUAAUAAAACUAACAUAUUAUGGCGGCAUUUCAUUUUAUUAGAGGAAUAUGUCUAAUAAUCGAAACCACGCGAUAAAUUUAAUUUUUAUUAAAAUUUUAUAUACCGCCGUCCAGAAUAGGUAAUUAAAACUUUAUUCUAAAAAAUAUUAUAAAAGCUUAGGUAAAGGUGUAGACAACAUAAAAAUUUAAGGUGUAUUACAUUAAAAACAAUUUAAGAAUAGAACUUCGAAAGAAAAAUUGAAAAAGGAUUUACAAGUAAUCUUUUAUCAAAAUAAAAAAAUGAAUAAAAAAAUAAAUGUGU
rnacentral:rRNA from 1 species